GAGUACGUAAUGCAAAGUGCCCGUCUGUCCUGAAAAAUAUAUGGUUUGGAUGGAGCACAAGGAACUUCUGAGGUGAAAACAACCGGAUUUCCUGUUCCUGCCAGAGCCUUGGUUGCUGUCAUUCGGCCUUGGUGGAGACUGAUCUUUCCAUCUGUGACCUCAAGGCUAUGUUCUUAUGCCAAGGGAUGCUCACAAACAGGAAAAUACUUACCUGUAUAGCUCCAACAGACUACAGCCACCUACAUCCUUAGAACAGCAUCUGCUCCUCUGCUGGUACCUUUUUCAGUACUGAGGGACAGGUGUCUGAAGGUUACUUAGUGGAAACCUAGGCUGUGCUAUAUGGCACUUCUCAGAACAAAACCCAGACUAUAGAAUGUGCACAGUUAAGCUGCACUUGUGCAGCUUGCUUCUUGAAAACUCAUCAGAAGAACUGGAGCUGUGAGCCUCGUAUAUAACGCAACUGUGUGAAGACACAUUCCCGUGAUACAAGAACCAAUCCGAGCAAGAGAACAGCAUGUCUGAGAGAAUGCACUGGAAGAAAAUAUGGCUAGUGAGAAGCAAUAUGAAGAGGUUGUGAGAUUGAGAGAAUGGGAUUUUAAAGUGCUUCACU